rnacentral:lncRNA from 1 species
UCUCUCUAUCACACCUGCUGUAUUUCGCUUCUGGGCUCUCUCUCUCUCUCAUCACACCUGCUGUAUUCGAUCUCUCUCUCUCUCUCUCUAUCACACCUGCUGUAUUCGACUCUCUCUCUCUAUCACACCUGCUGUAUUCGACUCUCUCUCUCUAUCACACCUGCUGUAUUCGACUCUCUCUCUCUCUAUCACACCUGCUGUAUUCGACUCUCUCUCUCUAUCACACCUGCUGUAUUCGACUCUCUCUCUCUAUCACAUCUGCUGUCUCGACCUCUGAAUGCUCGGCUAUGAAAAGCCAACUGACAUAAACUCCUGAGGUACUGACCUGUUGCACCCUCUACAACCACUGUGAUUAUUAAUUGACCCUGCCGGUCAUCUAUGAACCUUUGAACAUUUUGAAGAACAAUCUGGCCUUAAAUGGCCAUGUUAUAAUCUCCACCCGGCACAGCCAGAAGAGGACGGGCCACCCUCAGAUUCUGGUUCCUCUCUCGGGUUCUUUCUAGGUUCCUGCCUUUAUAGGGAGUUUUUUCUAGCCACCGUGCUUCUACAUCUGCAUUGCUUGCUGUUUGGGGUUUUAGGCUGGGUUUCUGUAUAGCACUUUGUGACAUGAUGUAAAAAAGGCUUUAUAAAUACAUUUGAUUGAUUGAUUGAUUGGUCAAAAGUAGUGCACUAUGUAGGGAAUAGGGUGCCAUUUGGAUGCA